GAUAGGGACAAGUAAAUGAACAGGUACAAUGUCAUUAACAAUGGAAUCGCAACUUAACAAGGGGCCGUAUCAUUAAGAGGCUAAAAGUUAGCUACACUUCCUACACAAGGAGCAACUCAAUUUGGUUUUACAGCUAAUAUGAAAUUCUGAUGUGGAGUCUGAAAGGCUGCAUAAAUCAGGUUUUAAUGUGCCGAUAAUAGCAGCCAAUACCCAUUCCAGAUACAGUAAUAUACUUGACCCAGCCACAAGAUCCAUUGAUUUCAAAAGCAGCUCUCCAUCACUUGGGAUUCCUAAGAACAAUGAUUACAGAGUCUCCACGCAGAAACAUCUUACUAAUGAAUCUGUCCUUGUUCACUGGCAUGGCCUUUUU
rnacentral:misc_RNA from 1 species